UGCCAGCCGCCGCGGUAAUACAGAGGGUGCAAGCGUUAAUCGGAGUUACUGGGCGUAAAGCGCGCGUAGGCGGAUACAACAGUCAGAUGUGAAAUCCCUGGGCUCAACCUAGGAACUGCAUUUGAUACUUUGUAUCUAGAGUAUGGUAGAGGGAAGUGGAAUUUCCGGUGUAGCGGUAAAAUGCAUAGAUAUCGGAAAGAACAUCAGUGGCGAAGGCGACUUCCUGGACCAAUACUGACGCUGAGGUGCGAAAGCAUGGGGAGCAAACAGGAUUAGAUA
rnacentral:rRNA from 1 species